GACAUACAAAAGAUCCUUCUGAAACUAUGCAAGUUAAGGUAUUUGAUCUGCAAACACAUACUUGGUCAAACUUGAAGACUUAUGGAAAGCCGCCGCUAUCUCGUGGAGGUCAUUCAGUUACCCUUACGGGAACAAGCUUAGUAAUAUUUGGAGGCCAAGAUGCAAAUCGAUCUCUUUUGAACGAUCUUCACAUUCUAGACUUGGAAACCAUGACCUGGGAUGAAAUGGACACAUUGGGGGUGGCUCCUUCUCCAAGGUCCGACCAUGCUGCCGCAGUACAUGCUGAGCGAUACCUUCUCAUUUUUGGCGGGGGCUCUCAUGCUACUUGCUUCAAUGAUCUGCAUGUCCUUGAUUUACAAACUAUGGAGUGGUCAACGCCUACUCAACAGGGUGAAAUACCAAGUCCACGUGCUGGCCAUGCUGGUGUGACAGUUGGAGAGAAUUGGUUUAUUACUGGUGGAGGCAACAAUAAGAGUGGGGUGUCUGAAACUGUUGUCCUCAACAUG
rnacentral:misc_RNA from 1 species